rnacentral:rRNA from 1 species
GAUUGAACGCUGGCGGCAGGCAUAACACAUGCAAGUCGAACGGUAACAGGAAGCAGCUUGCUGCUUCGCUGACGAGUGGCGGACGGGUGAGUAAUGUCUGGGAAACUGCCUGAUGGAGGGGGAUAACUACUGGAAACGGUAGCUAAUACCGCAUAACGUCGCAAGACCAAAGAGGGGGACCUUCGGGCCUCUUGCCAUCGGAUGUGCCCAGAUGGGAUUAGCUAGUAGGUGGGGUAACGGCUCACCUAGGCGACGAUCCCUAGCUGGUCUGAGAGGAUGACCAGCCACACUGGAACUGAGACACGGUCCAGACUCCUACGGGAGGCAGCAGUGGGGAAUAUUGCACAAUGGGCGCAAGCCUGAUGCAGCCAUGCCGCGUGUAUGAAGAAGGCCUUCGGGUUGUAAAGUACUUUCAGCGGGGAGGAAGGGAGUAAAGUUAAUACCUUUGCUCAUUGACGUUACCCGCAGAAGAAGCACCGGCUAACUCCGUGCCAGCAGCCGCGGUAAUACGGAGGGUGCAAGCGUUAAUCGGAAUUACUGGGCGUAAAGCGCACGCAGGCGGUUUGUUAAGUCAGAUGUGAAAUCCCCGGGCUCAACCUGGGAACUGCAUCUGAUACUGGCAAGCUUGAGUCUCGUAGAGGGGGGUAGAAUUCCAGGUG